UACGGGGGGUGCGAGCGUUGUCCGGAAUCACUGGGCGUAAAGGGCGCGUAGGUGGUUUGAUAAGGGUGUGGUGAAAGCCCGGGGCUCAACCCCGGGUCUGCCGUGCCGACUGUCAAACUCGAGGGCUGUAGAGGCAGACGGAAUUCCGGGUGUAGCGGUGGAAUGCGUAGAGAUCCGGAGGAACACCGGUGGCGAAGGCGGGUCUCUGGGCCGUAACUGACGCUGAGGAGCGAAAGCAUGGGGAGCGAACAGG
rnacentral:rRNA from 1 species